UGAGGAAUAUUGGUCAAUGGACGCGAGUCUGAACCAGCCAAGUAGCGUGAAGGAUGACUGCCCUAUGGGUUGUAAACUUCUUUUAUAUGGGAAUAAAGUUGUCCACGUGUGGAUUUUUGUAUGUACCAUAUGAAUAAGGAUCGGCUAACUCCGUGCCAGCAGCCGCGGUAAUACGGAGGAUCCGAGCGUUAUCCGGAUUUAUUGGGUUUAAAGGGAGCGUAGGCGGAUUGUUAAGUCAGUUGUGAAAGUUUGCGGCUCAACCGUAAAAUUGCAGUUGAUACUGGCAGUCUUGAGUGCAGUAGAGGUGGGCGGAAUUCGUGGUGUAGCGGUGAAAUGCUUAGAUAUCACGAAGAACUCCGAUUGCGAAGGCAGCUCACUGGAGUGUAACUGACGCUGAUGCUCGAAAGUGUGGGUAUCAAACAGG
rnacentral:rRNA from 2 species